AGAGUUUGAUCAUGGCUCAGAACGAACGCUGGCGGCGUGCUUAACACAUGCAAGUCGAACGCGAAAGUUUUCUUCGGAAGACGAGUAGAGUGGCGCACGGGUGAGUAACGCGUAAGUUAUCUACCUCGGCAUCUGGAAUAACUCACCGAAAGGUGUGCUAAUACCGGAUACGUUGAGUAAUCAAGAAAGGUGGCCUCUGAAUAUGCUACUGUGCUGAGAUGAGCUUGCGUACCAUUAGCUAGUUGGUAGGGUAAUGGCCUACCAAGGCAACGAUGGUUAGCGGGUCUGAGAGGAUGAUCCGCCACACUGGAACUGAAACACGGACCAGACUCCUACGGGAGGCAGCAGUGAGGAAUAUUGCGCAAUGGGGGCAACCCUGACGCAGCGACGCCGCGUGGAUGAUGAAGGCCUUCGGGUCGUAAAAUCCUGUCAGAUGGAAAGAAGUGCAUGGUGGUUAAUACCUGCCAUGUUUGACGGUACCAUCGAAGGAAGCACCGGCUAACUCCGUGCCAGCAGCCGCGGUAAUACGGAGGGUGCAAGCGUUGUUCGGAAUUACUGGGCGUAAAGCGCGCGUAGGCGGUUUGUUAAGUCAGAUGUGAAAGCCCAUGGCUCAACCAUGGACGUGCAUUUGAAACUGGCAGACUUGAGUAUUGGAGGGGGUGGUGGAAUUCCCGGUGUAGAGGUGAAAUUCGUAGAUAUCGGGAGGAAUACCGGUGGCGAAGGCGACCACCUGGCCAAAUACUGACGCUGAGGUGCGAAAGCGUGGGGAGCAAACAGGAUUAGAUACCCUGGUAGUCCACGCCGUAAACGAUGAGAACUAGGUGUUGGGACGGUUAAUCGUCUCAUUGCCGCAGCUAACGCAUUAAGUUCUCCGCCUGGGGAGUACGGUCGCAAGAUUAAAACUCAAAUGAAUUGACGG
rnacentral:rRNA from 1 species